rnacentral:rRNA from 1 species
UGGAUGCCCUGGCAGUCAGAGGCGAUGAAGGACGUGCUAAUCUGCGAUAAGCGUCGGUAAGGUGAUAUGAACCGUUAUAACCGGCGAUUUCCGAAUGGGGAAACCCAGUGUGAUUCGUCACACUAUCAUUAACUGAAUCCAUAGGUUAAUGAGGCGAACCGGGGGAACUGAAACAUCUAAGUACCCCGAGGAAAAGAAAUCAACCGAGAUUCCCCCAGUAGCGGCGAGCGAACGGGGAGCAGCCCAGAGCCUGAAUCAGUGUGUGUGUUAGUGGAAGCGUCUGGAAAGGCGCGCGAUACAGGGUGACAGCCCCGUACACAAAAAUGCACAUGCUGUGAGCUCGAUGAGUAGGGCGGGACACGUGGUAUCCUGUCUGAAUAUGGGGGGACCAUCCUCCAAGGCUAAAUACUCCUGACUGACCGAUAGUGAACCAGUACCGUGAGGGAAAGGCGAAAAGAACCCCGGCGAGGGGAGUGAAAAAGAACCUGAAACCGUGUACGUACAAGCAGUGGGAGCACGCUUAGGCGUGUGACUGCGUACCUUUUGUAUAAUGGGUCAGCGACUUAUAUUCUGUAGCAAGGUUAACCGAAUAGGGGAGCCGAAGGGAAACCGAGUCUUAACUGGGCGUUAAGUUGCAGGGUAUAGACCCGAAACCCGGUGAUCUAGCCAUGGGCAGGUUGAAGGUUGGGUAACACUAACUGGAGGACCGAACCGACUAAUGUUGAAAAAUUAGCGGAUGACUUGUGGCUGGGGGUGAAAGGCCAAUCAAACCGGGAGAUAGCUGGUUCUCCCCGAAAGCUAUUUAGGUAGCGCCUCGUGAAUUCAUCUCCGGGGGUAGAGCACUGUUUCGGCAAGGGGGUCAUCCCGACUUACCAACCCGAUGCAAACUGCGAAUACCGGAGAAUGUUAUCACGGGAGACACACGGCGGGUGCUAACGUCCGUCGUGAAGAGGGAAACAACCCAGACCGCCAGCUAAGGUCCCAAAGUCAUGGUUAAGUGGGAAACGAUGUGGGAAGGCCCAGACAGCCAGGAUGUUGGCUUAGAAGCAGCCAUCAUUUAAAGAAAGCGUAAUAGCUCACUGGUCGAGUCGGCCUGCGCGGAAGAUGUAACGGGGCUAAACCAUGCACCGAAGCUGCGGCAGCGACGCUUAUGCGUUGUUGGGUAGGGGAGCGUUCUGUAAGCCUGUGAAGGUGUACUGUGAGGUAUGCUGGAGGUAUCAGAAGUGCGAAUGCUGACAUAAGUAACGAUAAAGCGGGUGAAAAGCCCGCUCGCCGGAAGACCAAGGGUUCCUGUCCAACGUUAAUCGGGGCAGGGUGAGUCGACCCCUAAGGCGAGGCCGAAAGGCGUAGUCGAUGGGAAACAGGUUAAUAUUCCUGUACUUGGUGUUACUGCGAAGGGGGGACGGAGAAGGCUAUGUUGGCCGGGCGACGGUUGUCCCGGUUUAAGCGUGUAGGCUGGUUUUCCAGGCAAAUCCGGAAAAUCAAGGCUGAGGCGUGAUGACGAGGCACUACGGUGCUGAAGCAACAAAUGCCCUGCUUCCAGGAAAAGCCUCUAAGCAUCAGGUAACAUCAAAUCGUACCCCAAACCGACACAGGUGGUCAGGUAGAGAAUACCAAGGCGCUUGAGAGAACUCGGGUGAAGGAACUAGGCAAAAUGGUGCCGUAACUUCGGGAGAAGGCACGCUGAUAUGUAGGUGAAGCGACUUGCUCGUGGAGCUGAAAUCAGUCGAAGAUACCAGCUGGCUGCAACUGUUUAUUAAAAACACAGCACUGUGCAAACACGAAAGUGGACGUAUACGGUGUGACGCCUGCCCGGUGCCGGAAGGUUAAUUGAUGGGGUUAGCGCAAGCGAAGCUCUUGAUCGAAGCCCCGGUAAACGGCGGCCGUAACUAUAACGGUCCUAAGGUAGCGAAAUUCCUUGUCGGGUAAGUUCCGACCUGCACGAAUGGCGUAAUGAUGGCCAGGCUGUCUCCACCCGAGACUCAGUGAAAUUGAACUCGCUGUGAAGAUGCAGUGUACCCGCGGCAAGACGGAAAGACCCCGUGAACCUUUACUAUAGCUUGACACUGAACAUUGAGCCUUGAUGUGUAGGAUAGGUGGGAGGCUUUGAAGUGUGGACGCCAGUCUGCAUGGAGCCGACCUUGAAAUACCACCCUUUAAUGUUUGAUGUUCUAACGUGGACCCGUAAUCCGGGUUGCGGACAGUGUCUGGUGGGUAGUUUGACUGGGGCGGUCUCCUCCUAAAGAGUAACGGAGGAGCACGAAGGUUGGCUAAUCCUGGUCGGACAUCAGGAGGUUAGUGCAAUGGCAUAAGCCAGCUUGACUGCGAGCGUGACGGCGCGAGCAGGUGCGAAAGCAGGUCAUAGUGAUCCGGUGGUUCUGAAUGGAAGGGCCAUCGCUCAACGGAUAAAAGGUACUCCGGGGAUAACAGGCUGAUACCGCCCAAGAGUUCAUAUCGACGGCGGUGUUUGGCACCUCGAUGUCGGCUCAUCACAUCCUGGGGCUGAAGUAGGUCCCAAGGGUAUGGCUGUUCGCCAUUUAAAGUGGUACGCGAGCUGGGUUUAGAACGUCGUGAGACAGUUCGGUCCCUAUCUGCCGUGGGCGCUGGAGAACUGAGGGGGGCUGCUCCUAGUACGAGAGGACCGGAGUGGACGCAUCACUGGUGUUCGGGUUGUCAUGCCAAUGGCACUGCCCGGUAGCUAAAUGCGGAAGAGAUAAGUGCUGAAAGCAUCUAAGCACGAAACUUGCCCCGAGAUGAGUUCUCCCUGACUCCUUGAGAGUCCUGAAGGAACGUUGAAGACGACGACGUUGAUAGGCCGGGUGUGUAAGCGCAGCGAUGCGUUGAGCUAACCGGUACUAAUGAACCGUGAGGCUUAACCUU